rnacentral:misc_RNA from 1 species
CAAGGGUCACGUGCCCCGCACGUGACAUCCUGCCCAACCCUAUGUGAACCUACCACUGUUGCCUCGGCGGCGCCGCGGCUGCCCGGGAGCUCCCUGGAGACCGCCUACCCCGUAGGCGGCCGCCCUGUAGCCACCCUGCAGCUCGCACGCAAGGCCCGCCAGAGGACCCCUAAACUCUGAAUUAUACCCUAUAACUCUGAAUUGGCGAACGGAAUACGUUA